UUUCAUUCCCCCCAACACUUGUAUUUUUUUCCUCUUUCUCUAAAACUUUCGUACCCUAGCUAAUAACUAUGAGACUCAGCAGCUCAUUCACCUUGCCGACCUCAUCAUUCUCCAAGCUGACCUGCCUGGAGUUCCCGACAUCCUUCUCCAACCUGACGUGCUCCAAGUCCCCGACUUCAUUCUCUGACCUAAGCCGUCUGGAGCCUCCUUUAAUCUGACCCAGAGUCCCCGACCUCGCUCCCUGACCCUGAGUUCCCGGCCUCGCUCUCUGACCCAACCUCCCUCUCCAGACCUCGAGCUUGAGAUCCGAUCUGAACUCGAGCUUAUUAGCCGACCUGAGCUUGUCAUUCUCCUAUUUGAGCCGGCUCUACGUCUAGUUGCAGAAAAAGGCCCAAGUUUUUUGUUUUGUUCUAGAAGCCUACAUUGACUACAGCCAGAUACAAACUCUUCGUUCUAUUUUCGAUUUUUUUCUCGGAUACAUACGCAGCGUCAAACUCAGGUAUCAACCGUAUUGAUCAAGCUCUGAGAUAUAAAGGUUGCUUGGGUAGGCUAGAGAAGAGGAGAGAUCCAAGAUUGUGGUCGACUUCCGAGGAAGUAUUGAUCAAAGGUCUUUUGCUGUUAGAAUUGAUCAAAGGUCAACUAAGAUCAACACAAAGAAGAGGAGGAGGACGAAGACGUAGAGGGCGAUGAUGUUGAUGUUAUUCAGAGCGAUGCGACUGAAGAAGAAGAAGAUGAGGAGGACGAUGGAUGAGGUUGAAGUUGCCGUGAAGCAUAAAACUUGCCAAUUUUGGAGAUUGGAUUCAGCUUUAAAAGCUAGUUUAUGACCAAGAAUAGUAGCUGAUUUUGUAUGGGAAUACUGACUGGUGGCUGGGUCUACUAUUCAAAUCUCCAGAAAUACUUGAAGCUGUUGGUGCAUUUCAAAAGACACCAAUGGUAAUGCACCAACAAAAGGUAUUUGCAACUGGCAUGUGGUUUAUAUUGAUGGUGACCAGACUACAUUAGAUUGACAUUAUAGCGGACUUCAUUAAUAGCACCUGCUGCUACCCUUGAUAUAUUUUGUUUUUGUUUUAGGAUGCUAAUGUUGCAAAGAGAGAAAGAAAUAAAGGUGCAAAGCAACUUGAUCCAAAGUUUGUUCUGAACUUUAUUUUUCAAAAUUUUGGAUAUAUAGAUUAUUUCUCUUUUACUUUUCUCAUAUGGAAUGACUUUUCAAAGAUGACUGUUAGCCUUCUGUAUGGUUUCAGGAAAUAGUAGUUCCAAUAAGGACUUAUCCAGAGAACUUUCCAAUAAAAAGUAGCUUCACCCUUUGCUCAAUCUCUUAUGGAAUUAACUCUCGGGGAAUUAUGAACAGGUGUUGGGAAAGGUGGAUACUCUGAGGAAAAAGGUUAUGUCUGUUGGAAAGGAACAUGCAUCUCUGUGUGCUAAGGUUGAUAUCUCAGUUGUUGAGUACUUAUGAUACAGUUUCUGCAAUUUUAGAGGUUUUAGAAAAAAGUUGGUUUUGGUUGGGAGCUAUAGUAACUACUUCACUCAUCAGGUUUCUAAUAAUGCAUAAGAGUUCCUCUAUCGCUAGAUUGAUGGUAUGCUGUAGUUGCUUUGGUUUCUUUAUUGCUAGAGAUCCCAAACUGAAAAUGAAGCCCAAUUAUAGCUAUAGUAGUCACCCUUCACAAGAGCAUUUGUUGGAUGAUGCUUUAGAAGAUGAUGAUACCAGACUCCUCUCCCUCAAUCUUUCCGUCCCCAAAUCACCACCAUGGAUGCCAAGUUGUUACAACCUUCAGCCCGCAACACUUUAGCCUACGGUACCCUAAAGUCUGUAAGACCCAUUUCCUAUUUGAUCUCCAAGACCAUUUUUACAACCUCCAGCCAUAGCUUUCCAUCCAAUCUAGGAACAAAACAGACCCUUAAUUGGACAGAAUACCAUUUGGGCUGUCAUGACUGUUGUUGUUGUGCUAUAGUUCACUGCAGGUUAGCUAAUAAUUACUUUUUCCUCAUGGUACUUGAGACUAACUAAUAAUUACUUUUUUCUCAUUGUAUUUCAGACGUAUGAUCAUGAACAUAGCUAAUAUAUGUUCUUAAGGUUUUACUGUUUGUUUGAAAAUAUGUACACAUACCUAAUUCAUUUCGGAUAUUGUACACUUGGCCUUUUGGAAAUUUAUCUAGAUACAUUUAUGCUUUUGUUUAUCUUGUUCAGGCUUUAGCUUCUAGCUAGUUGCUGCUUUGUUAUAUAAUCGAAGAUUGCUAUUACUAUGUUUGUCUCACUUUCUGCAAUCAAGUUUAUGUUGUUGCUGCUAAGGAUUGGAAUUCUAGAUUUUAAAACUUUAGUUAACUAGUCGGUCAAUUUCUUCUGCUGCUUUGUGUGGUGCUGUCAUGACUUACAUUGUUAUAUAUAUUUGUAGUGGGCGGUAAAGGAUCGGAAAAGGUAUACCCAACAACAACUUGACGAGGUCCGCAUUGAAGUAGCCGACUACUUACAGACUCUGCUGUAGGUUCUGACCAGUUUCUUGAUUUUGAGUUAGGCUAGCUUUUAAUGAACUUUUUGUAGAAAUUAUGAACAAACAUGAAUACUAAUUGCUAGGCUAGCCUUGUAGUAGGUGAAUUGGGGUUUUAUUUUGCCCAUUUUGUAAACUGUUAAGGAAGAUGAUUUCAGAUAUAAUGCCCCAAUAUUCAAAUCACUCUUGUCAACUAUCGAAAUUGCAAUUUAUAACAGCAGCUACAUAUUUUGUGGA